UCAAGCGACUAAGGGCGCACGGUGGAUGUCUUGGCGUCGAGAGGCGAUGAAGGACGUUGGAACCUGCGAAAAGCUUCAGGGAGCUGGUAACCAAGCUGUGAUCUGAAGAUGUCCGAAUGGGGUAACCCGGCCGAAAGGUCAUCAUGUACUGAAUGCAUAGGUGCAUGAAGCGAACCCGGAGAACUGAAACAUCUAAGUACCCGGAGGAAAAGAAAUCAACCGAGAUUCCCUGAGUAGCGGCGAGCGAAAGGGGACCAGCCGAUCCGAUAUGUCGUAGUGGAAGCCUCUGGAAAGUGGCGCCAUAGUGGGUGAUAGCCCCGUACGGGUAGAAGAACGAUUGGGCCUCGAGUAGGGCGGGACACGUGAAAUCCUGUCUGAACAUGGGGGGACCACCCUCCAAGCCUAAGUACUCCUCAGCGACCGAUAGUGAACCAGUACCGUGAGGGAAAGGCGAAAAGAACCCCGGAGAGGGGAGUGAAAUAGAACCUGAAACCGGAUGCGUACAAGCAGUCGGAGCCCGUUCGUCGGGUGACGGCGUACCUUUUGUAUAAUGGGUCAGCGACUUAG
rnacentral:rRNA from 1 species